rnacentral:pre_miRNA from 1 species
AGCCUUCUGUAUCCGUGCUGAGAUUUCGUCACACACAAACCACAAGGACCGAUGAGACUACCAUGAUAAGUGAAGCG